CUUGUGCAGUCAGGUUAUAAACAAAAUUUAGAACUCAUGUAUAGGGAUCUAGAGAGAAGACCAGAUGUGACCAGACAGAGAAGAGACAGCACGGCGGAGAGGUCACAGCAGAGAAGGUGGAACAGAACGGAGGGCACGCCAUUGGAUUGUGGUUUCCACACAGGGUACGCAACGCUCUCAAUCCUGCAUCUGGGUCGUGGCUAAGCCACACCCACGCAACGUAAGUACGCUUUUGAAAUACUUAGCGUACUAAAUAUUCUGCUGGCUGUGAAGGCUCUUCCCACUGCUGAGACCCUUUCUCUUUCUUUCCCCAUUGGAGGCAUCGGCCAGUGCCAGUGAAGUAAGGAGCAGAAACCGACUGCUGGAAGGGACGGUAACCUGGGCUUGUUGUGCUAAGCUCACUGCUUCUGCUGCUGACCCCUUGCUGCUUCUGCUGCUUACUCGCUUGCUGACUCUACUGAUGCUGUCGUUUGCUGCUCUAUUUAGUUGCUUUGCACAAACUGGGGUUUUAAUUUGGACUUGAUUGGACUUCCAUUUUAGCAUUGGACAUUUAGGUGCAUCUAACAUGGAAGGUUCCCGCUUCAAUAAUGAACUGUUACAAGUUAAAUUGUAACUUGAACUUUUUUGUCAGCUCGCGACUCUUCAGCACACCUGCAACUUUGUCUGGUCACGGACAAACACAAAGAAAAGAAAGAAACCAAGCUGAAGCAGAAGCAGCAACAGAAGUAGCAGAAGAUGUGUGUCUGGCUGUGGCAGUCCACCCAUCAGGUCCUGAAGUCUACAUGGGAAUCCCAAAGGCUGCCAGGCUCAACGGAGGAGGAGGAGGAGGAGGCAGGUGUUUAAAAGCGCAUCGACUUAGAUGACCCCAUCCCUCCAGCCAACUUCACCAGUCGCUCCCCAUCUCAUCAAGGAGAUUUCCAGGUGUAAUUUUCCAAUGAAGUGUGCCUACAUAACCAAGACCAUAGAAACGCAUGCUGCCAACCACAAUGAAAACUUUGGAAAAUGUCCCCGGAGAGUACUUGUAGGUUUGAGGAAAAUCGCCUGUGCCUGUUUUCAGCGCAAAUUCCAAUUUUUGCUUGAGGCUGCCUUGCUUGUUGAGACUGGUAUUGCUGCUUGUAUAUUGGGAAGCAUCUACUUGGUCCUUGUUCAGUGGACCAGUUAUUCAGAGGGGAUAUUGUUUUUGUUGCGGGACAAGUGGUCAGUGAUAUGUGGGGUGGGGAAAAAAUAUGUAUUACAUAUGAGUGUGACAGCAAAAGUUAUUGGGUGCAAUCAGACACAUUUUGUCAAUAGCUGUACACCUAUGCAACUUUGGGCGUGUCCAUAAGGGUGCAUCUGGUAGCAGUGUGCGGUGUGAUCUUACAUUGUGAUUGAUUUUAAUAACUGCUUUGUGAUAUACAACCUGGAUUAGGUGCCAUCAAAGUUCAUUGUAAAUAAUGUGCGUGGCCCCCCUAUUUCUCAGUUAAUGCAAAAUCACAUCAGUCAUUUGUGCCUGCACAGACAGUUGAAUAUUAACUGUAGUGUUUCUUUUCAUCUGCUUUGUGUGUGUAGUAUCUUUCACAGGUGUGUGAAGAGUCAACCCCGAGAGAUUGCCUACUGACAUGGACGCUAUCAAAACAAUAAAGAAUACUA